rnacentral:lncRNA from 1 species
AAAAUGAAACAUUUUUACUACUCCAAUAUGAAUACUUCAUUUCACUUUAUUCUCUACUUUUCUAAUCUCCUGAACCAUUUUCUUCUCUCUAAAGCACAAAAGCAAACCCUUCAUUUCUUCUUAAGCAAACUCCGAGAAAUCAAAGUUUCUUCGCUUUAUCAUCAAUGGCGUCCAAGAUUAAAAAUCCUAAAGAUUCCAAGAAACAAUAAUCUCUCCCUGCUGUUCACAAAAUCUUAGGUCCAAAAGUUGU